GAUGAAGAACGAAGCGAAAUGCGAUAAGUAAUGUGAAUUGCAGAAUUCAGUGAAUCAUCGAAUCUUUGAACGCACCUUGCGCUCCUUGGUAUUCCGAGGAGCAUGCCUGUUUGAGUGUCAUGAAAUUCUCAACCUUUUCAGCUUUCUUUGUUGAUCAGGCUUGGAUGUGGGAGUAUGCGGGCUUCUCAGAAGUCGGCUCUCCUGAAAUGCAUUAGCGGGACCUUUGUUGCCUGGCUUUGGUGUGAUAAUUAUCUACGCCAUUGUAGUCAAGCAGCUUAAAAUGAGGUUUCAGCUUCUAACCGUCUCCCCUGAGACAACUUUUUGACAAUUUGACCUCAAAUCAGGUAGGACUACCCGCUGAACUUAAGCAUAUCAUAAGCGGAGGA
rnacentral:misc_RNA from 1 species